rnacentral:rRNA from 1 species
UGCAAGUCGAACGAGCUGGCCCACUGACAAGUUUUGAAGCAUGAAGAGCUUGCUCCGAUUGUGGAUUUACUUUGAUGUGGAUUCUCCAGCUAGUGGCAAACGGGUGAGUAACACGUGGGUUACCUGCCUCAUAGACUGGGAUACCUAUUGGAAACGAUAGUUAAUACCGGAUGUUAUCUACGGAUUAAAGGGAGCCUUUAAAGCUUCGCUAUGAGAUGGGCCUGCGGUGCAUUAGGUAGUUGGUGAGAUAAUAGCCCACCAAGCCGACGAUGCAUAGCUGAACUGAGAGGUUGAUCGGCCACACUGGGACUGAUACACGGCCCAGACUCCUACGGGAGACAGCAGUUAGGAAUAUUCGUCAAUGGGGGGAACCCUGAACGAGCAAUGCCGCGUGAACGAUGACGGUCCUCUGGAUUGUAAAGUUCUGUUGUUUGGAAAAAAUGACUAAUUUACGGAAAUGAUUUUCAGUUUGAUCGGUACCAUUCAAGAAAGCCACGACUAACUACGUGCCAGCAGCCGCGGUAAUACGUAGGUAGGCUAGCAGUUGUCCGGAAUUAAUUGGGCCGUACAACGGGAGCGCAAGGCGGGAAGGUAAAGUCGGUCUUAAAAGUGCGGGGCUCAACACCCGUUGAGGGGAUCGAAACUAUCUUUCUUGAGUGCACGGAGAGGAAAGCGGAAUUCCCAGUUGUAAGCGGGUGAAAUGCGUAGAUAUUGGGAGGAACACCAGUGGCGAAGGCGGCUUUCUGGACUGUAACUGACGCUGAGGCUCGAAAGCCAGGGGAGCGAACGGGAUUAGAUACCCCGGUAGUCCUGGCCGUAACGAUGAAUACUAGGUGUAGGAGGUAUUGACCCCUUCUGUGCCGGAGUUAACGCAAUAAGUAUUCCGCCUGGGGAGUACGGUCGCAAGACUGAAACUCAAAGGAAUUUGACGGGGGCCCGCACAAGCGGUGGAGUAUGUGGUUUAAUUCGACGCAACGCGAAGAACCUUACCAGGUCUUGACAUUGAGUGAAAGCAUAGAGAUAUGCUCCUCUCUUCGGAGACACGAAAACAGGUGGUGCAUGGCUGUCGUCAGCUCGUGUCGUGAGAUGUUGGGUUAAGUCCCGCAACGAGCGCAACCCCUAUACUUUGUUGCCAGCACGUAAAGGUGGGAACUCAAAGUAGACUGCCGCGGACAACGCGGAGGAAGGCGGGGAUGACGUUAAGUCAUCAUGCCCCUUAUGACCUGGGCUACACACGUACUACAAUGGGAAGGACAGAGAGCAGCGAAAGGGCGACCUCAAGCGAACCUCAAAAACCUUCUCCCAGUUCGGAUUGCAGGCUGCAACCCGCCUGCAUGAAGUCGGAAUCGCUAGUAAUCGCAGGUCAGCAUACUGCGGUGAAUACGUUCCCGGGCCUUGUACACACCGCCCGUCACACCACGGAAGUCAUUCACACCCGAAGCCGGUGGAUAACCGCAAGGAGAUAGCCGUCUAAGUGGGCGAUGACUGGGU